GUUUGGAAGCUGAAACAAUGAGAGCUGUUUGGAUUUUCUUGGAUGUUUUGCUGCUAUGUUGGCUUACUAAAGGUUCGACUCCAAGUGGCAUUUCUCUGAAAACCCUUGGACUUCUCAAGUCAAUGGAUUCCAUGAUGGAGAAACGUGUUAAAGAAGUACUUCUGGAAACCAAUACAAUGGAUGCUGAGAAAUCAUUUGGCCAGGUGAGACUAGUAGAACUUACCAGUGAGAUGAACUUGAGGUCUGAGGAGGAAAAUCAAAUGAGCACCGGUAAAGGAACUGUGGCUGCCUGGGCCCCUGCUGGCAACAGGACUUUGGCUGAGGCUGCGGCCGCCUGGGCCCCUGCUGGCAACAGGACUGUGGCUGAGGCUGCGGCCGCC